rnacentral:rRNA from 1 species
AUUGAACGCUGGCGGCAUGCCUUACACAUGCAAGUCGAACGGUAACGCGGGGCAACCUGGCGACGAGUGGCGAACGGGUGAGUAAUGCAUCGGAACGUGCCCAGUAGUGGGGGAUAGCCCGGCGAAAGCCGGAUUAAUACCGCAUACGACCUACGGGUGAAAGGGGGGGACCGCAAGGCCUCGCGCUGAUGGAGCGGCCGAGGUCAGAGUAGCUAGUUGGUGGGGUAAAGGCCUACCAAGGCGACGAUCUGUAGCGGGUCUGAGAGGAUGAUCCGCCACGCUGGGACUGAGACACGGCCCAGACUCCUACGGGAGGCAGCAGUGGGGAAUUGUGAGCAAUGGGGGCAACCCUGAUCCAGCCAUGCCGCGUGGGUGAAGAAGGCCUUCGGGUUGUGAAGCUCUUUCAGCCGGGAAGAAAUCGCAUGGGUUAAUACCCUGUGCGGAUGACGGUACCGGAAUAAGAAGCACCGGCUAACUACGUGCCAGCAGCCGCGGUAACAC